AGGGCCAUCGCCUAUAUCUGCCCA
rnacentral:miRNA from 1 species